rnacentral:rRNA from 1 species
AGAGUUUGAUCCUGGCUCAGGAUGAACGCUAGCGACAGGCUUAACACAUGCAAGUCGAGGGGCAGCACAGGUAGCAAUACCGGGUGGCGACCGGCGCACGGGUGAGUAACGCGUAUGCAACUUGCCUAUCAGAGGGGGAUAACCCGGCGAAAGUCGGACUAAUACCGCAUGAAGCAGGGGCCCCGCAUGGGGAUAUUUGCUAAAGAUUCAUCGCUGAUAGAUAGGCAUGCGUUCCAUUAGGCAGUUGGCGGGGUAACGGCCCACCAAACCGACGAUGGAUAGGGGUUCUGAGAGGAAGGUCCCCCACAUUGGUACUGAGACACGGACCAAACUCCUACGGGAGGCAGCAGUGAGGAAUAUUGGUCAAUGGCCGAGAGGCUGAACCAGCCAAGUCGCGUGAAGGAAGAAGGAUCUAUGGUUUGUAAACUUCUUUUAUAGGGGAAUAAAGUGGAGGACGUGUCCUUUUUUGUAUGUACCCUAUGAAUAAGCAUCGGCUAACUCCGUGCCAGCAGCCGCGGUAAUACGGAGGAUGCGAGCGUUAUCCGGAUUUAUUGGGUUUAAAGGGUGCGUAGGUGGUGAUUUAAGUCAGCGGUGAAAGUUUGUGGCUCAACCAUAAAAUUGCCGUUGAAACUGGGUUACUUGAGUGUGUUUGAGGUAGGCGGAAUGCGUGGUGUAGCGGUGAAAUGCAUAGAUAUCACGCAGAACUCCGAUUGCGAAGGCAGCUUACUAAACCAUAACUGACACUGAAGCACGAAAGCGUGGGGAUCAAACAGGAUUAGAUACCCUGGUAGUCCACGCAGUAAACGAUGAUUACUAGGAGUUUGCGAUACAAUGUAAGCUCUACAGCGAAAGCGUUAAGUAAUCCACCUGGGGAGUACGCCGGCAACGGUGAAACUCAAAGGAAUUGACGGGGGCCC